GGAGGUUAUUUUAACUUUCUUUUAUCUGUUGAGACUUGCUCUUUAACAAAUUAUAUGGACAAAUUUAGAGAAGAUUUCCUAAGAUGCUGAGAAGAAGGUAUACUCUUGUAUUUGAGUUAAAUUUCUAUGGUUAUCUCUUAGGUAUUUUUGAUUCAUAACAUCCACUACCUUCCUUAUUUUUCUGUUAGUUUCUGUCUAGACAACUUGUUCAUUGGUGACAGUGGGGUGUUUAAGUUUCCCACUGUUAAUGUGUGGGGUUUGAUGUGUAAUUUGAUCUUUAGUAGUAUUUCUUUUACUACUAAAUGAAGUGUGUAUGCCCUUGCAUUUGGGGCAUAUAUAUUGAGGAUUCAGACAUCAUCUUAGCAUAUUUUUCCUUUGAUGAGUAUGAAAUGUCAUUCUCCAUCUUUUUUGAUUAUUUUUCAUUUAAAGUCUAUUUUAUUAAAUAUUAGAAUAGAAUACAAAUUUGAUUCUUGGCUCUGUUUGCUUGAAAAUCUGUUUUAGACCUUAACUCUGAGGUAAUGCCUAUCUUGGAUGCUGAGGUGUGUUUAUUGUAUGCAGUAGAAUGAGUAAUGUGAUUAUGUAUCCAUUCUGUUAGCCUGUGAUAUUUCAUUAAUCAAUGUAUUUAUUCUGAUCUUGAUAGAUGUCCUCUAGUCACCUUUUAACAGACUCUCCCCCAUCCUCUUAUCCUCUGAGAGUGGGAGACACCCCUGAGAAUCACUAUACCCUUAAAGCCAUUGUCUUUGAUUGAGGACUUGAGACCAUUGAUAUUGUGAGAUACUAAAGAAAGACCAACAAUUGUUAUUUCCUAAUAUUUUGAUGUUGAUGGUGGUGUGUGUGUGUGUGUGUGUGUGUGUGUGUGUGUGUGUGUGUGUCUAAGGGUGAUUAUGUGGGUGUGUGCAUGUUUCUAUUCUUUUGGUUUCACUAGUGUGGAAUUAUUUAUUUUCUGUGUUUUGGAGUGUAGUUAACCUCCUUUUCUUGCAAUGUUCCUUUUAGUGUCUUCUGUCUGGUUGGAUUGGUGGAUAGAUAUGUUUUAAAUUUGGUUUUGUCAAGGUAUGUCUUGUUUUCUCCCCCUAGAAUGAUUGAAACUUUUGCAGGAUAAAAUAGUCUAAUCUGUCAUUUGUGGUCCUUUAGAGACUACAAGGUAUCUAACCCAAGCCUUUCUUCCUUUUAAAGUUUCUGUUGAGAAGUCAGGUAUAAUUCUGAUAGGUCUGCCUUUAUAUGUUACUUAGUCUCUUCCCCCGUGGCUUUUAAUAUUCUUUCUUUGUUCUGUACAUUCAGUGUUUUGGUUAUUAUGUGGUGGAAGGAUUUUCUUUUCUGGUUCUACUUAUUUGGUGCUCUGUAAAUUUUCUGUAUUUUUAUAGUUAUCUCUUUAUUUGGAUUAUGGAAAAUUUCUUCUAUAAUGGUGCUGAAAAUAUUUUCUGGACUUCUGAGCUCAGAAUUCUCUUCCUUUAUUACUAUUAAUCUUUGAUUUGGUCUUUUCAUUGUGUCCCAGAUUUACUUGAUGUUUUAUGUCAGGAAUAUUUUAGAUUUAACCCUUGCUGUGACAAAUGUAUUGAUAUCUUAUAUUCUAUUCCUAUGCUUUUCUCUUCCAUCUCACUUGAGCCUGUAGUUUCUGUUCUCUUACUUAGGUUUUUAUUGCCAGGAUUCCCUCAGUUUGUGGGUUUUCAUUUGUCUGUUUGUUUGCUAUGUUGUGCUUUUGCUUUUUAUUGUUGGUUUUUAUUGCUUCUAUCUUCCUUUUCAGAUUCUGAACUCUGUUAGUCAUUUCCUUCACAUGUUUGAUUUAUUUUCCUGUGUUUCUACUUGGAAUUCAUUUAUUUCCUCUUUAGAAGUCUCUAUUAUCUUCAUAAGGCUUGAUUAAAGGUCAUUUUGUUGUAUUUCUCCUGUGCUAACAUAUCCAGGGUGCUGGUGGUGUCAAAUUGCUCUGGCUAUUGUUAUUUGUGCUCACUUUUAACCUAUCUGUGCUUUGUUUUUAUUAUAGGUUUAGAUGCUAACUUUAAGUUUAUCUUGUUGGAUGGGUGGAGUUUUUUAUUUGUUUUCAUUGCUGUUGCUGUUGCUGUUGUUGUUUGAGGCUUUUUUUUUUAUUUUGUUUUUUCUUCCCUUGGUCUCUGUUUUCUCUCUGUCUUCUGGCCUGAGUACCUGAGUUUCUGGUGACUAGCAAGUCUUCAGCUCUAGUAAGUUAUCUUCAUUGUGGUUUUAAGGCCUUCAUGGCCUCUAGGGUUUUGAGUAUUAACAUUCCUUCUGGGUCCCUAGAACCAUCAUGGCCUGGGGUCCCUCAUGAUGGCAGGCAUCCAGAAAUGUGGGCAGGGUUUUAGAUUAAUAAAUGGUAUCCAGGAAGUGAGUAGCACUAUUAGGCAUAUUUUAAGGGAAGAUGGCAGGUAAAGGCUUGGGGCAGGGUCUUACCUGGUUGUCCCUGCUACCAGCAGACCUCCAGGAAAUCAGGCAGAAUUGUGGUACAGGAAACACAGCUCAGGGUAUUUCUCACUUGAUUUUCAUCCUGACUCAUCACUUCUUUUUGGAAGAAACCUCUGACCUCCCACCCCCACCCCCAGCACAACUGAAUAGAAAUAUUGGGUCACUUCCUUUUUAAUCAAGGUCAUAAUCAUGUGUUCUUCAUCAAGGCAUGUACUUUCUGGAGCUACUCCAGCACAGAGCUUUGGCAUCAACAUCUCUAGCUACUUCUUGGCCAAGGCACCUUUGUCUUAUACCAAGCCCUGGCAUGAAGUGUACCUAGAAUGGCCAAGGUGAUAGAUUCUUUACUGCCUGUGAGCUUUCUCCAACCAUACUACAGUGUUAGAAUCCAACAACCUGUCACACAUCAUUUUUUCUUGAUGACCCAGGAAAGUCAGAUUGCUUUCCAAGGCUGUAAAUGAGAGAGAUUCUUACAACAAUGUCUUUCCUGGAUGUUAGGACUGCCAGUUUAGUUCUUUCCUUCCUCUAUCUAGGUCCUAGUAACUGCUGCACCCAUUUUGUAACUUCACAAGAGCAUCUACUUACUAUUCCUUUCCAGACAUGGUUUCAUUAGUAAUACCAGUAAAUUAAGCUUUCAGCUUCAUGUUCUUCUGAUGUGAUCUAGAAACACUUUGAUAAACAUCUUCUAAUCCCUCUGUCUUACCACAAACAUUAUUUUGAACAAGCCCAAACUCUCUAGACAACUGGUCAGUUAUCAGGAUCCUGGCACACAAACUGACAAUUUCAGGACAGUGGACCAGCAAAGUAUAUAAUUCGGAUUGGAAAUACCCCCCUUCAGUACAUCGAGAUGAGUUCUCCUUCUAUUUUAUGAGAUGACUUGAACUGCUGAUGCACUGGGCUUCUCCUUUGCAGUGGCUUAAUUAGCUGAGUCAGGGCCAACUCCAUGCAUUCAAAGAUGCUAGAGGCCUCAGUAGCAGAAGUAUAUCACCAGGCAACUUUUCUGUUCUGCCAAUGAUGCACAAAUCAAUAGUCAUCUGGUCCUAAAAUUAAAUCAAAAUUUU
rnacentral:lncRNA from 1 species